rnacentral:rRNA from 1 species
CCAGACUCCUACGGGAGGCAGCAGUGGGGAAUAUUGCACAAUGGGGGGAACCCUGAUGCAGCGACGCCGCGUGAGUGAAGAAGUAUUUCGGUAUGUAAAGCCCUGUCAGCAGGGAAGAAAAUGACGGUACCUGAAGAAGAAGCCCCGGCUAACUACGUGCCAGCAGCCGCGGUAAUACGUAGGGGGCAAGCGUUAUCCGGAUUUACUGGGUGUAAAGGGGGCGCAGACGGCGAUGCAAGCCAGGAGUGAAAGCCCGGGGCCCAACCCCGGGACUGCUCUUGGAACUGCGUGGCUGGAGUGCAGGAGGGGCAGGCGGAAUUCCUGGUGUAGCGGUGAAAUGCGUAGAUAUCAGGAGGAACACCGGUGGCGAAGGCGGCCUGCUGGACUGCAACUGACGUUGAGGCCCGAAAGCGUGGGGAGCAAACAGGAUUAGAUACCCUCGUAGG